AGGACGAACGCUGGCGGCGUGCUUAACACAUGCAAGUCGAACGGUGAACUCUGCUUGCGGGGGGAUCAGUGGCGAACGGGUGAGUAACACGUGGGCAACCUGCCCUCAGCUCUGGGAUAACUCCAAGAAAUUGGGGCUAAUACUGGAUAUGACUGCUGACCGCAUGGUCUGGUGGUGGAAAGAUUUAUCGGCUGGGGGAUGGGCCCGCGGCCUAUCAGCUUGUUGGUGGGGUAGUGGCCUACCAAGGCGACGACGGGUAGCCGGCCUGAGAGGGUGACCGGCCACACUGGGACUGAGACACGGCCCAGACUCCUACGGGAGGCAGCAGUGGGGAAUAUUGCGCAAAUGGGCGAAAGCCUGACGCAGCGACGCCGCGUGGGGGAUGACGGCCUUCGGUGUAAACCUCUUUCAGCAGGACGAAGCGAGAGUGACGGUACCUGCAGAAGAAGCACCGGCCAACUACGUGCCGAGCAGCCGCGUAA
rnacentral:rRNA from 1 species